UACGUAGGCAGCGAGCGUUGUUCGGAGUUACUGGGCGUAAAGGGUGUGUAGGCGGUUGUUUAAGUUUGGUGUGAAAUCUCCCGGCUCAACUGGGAGGGUGCGCCGAAUACUGAAUGACUUGGAGUGCGGGAGAGGAGAGUGGAAUUCCUGGUGAGCGGUGAAAUGCGCAGAUAUCAGGAAGAACACCCGUGGCUAAGGCGGCUCUCUAGUACGGUACUGACGCUGAGACGCGAAGCGUGGGGGAGCGAACAGG
rnacentral:rRNA from 1 species